rnacentral:SRP_RNA from 1 species
GCCCAUCAAAUGUCAGGUGGACUUGUCUAAAAUUUCAUGGAUCCUAGAGUGGAGGGUACUGCGUCAGGUUGGCUUCACAGAGCAACGAUUGCCUCCUACUCUUCGCAGUGGAAGGAUUAC